ensembl:lncRNA
GUCACACCUGUACCUUAACUGUACAUUCUGGGCUUAGUAGGUUGAUUCACUCAAGUACUUUGAAAACUAUUAAAGAUCUCUGAACUGAGUCACUGGCUGCUGGUACAAUCAGGACAGAAGUUGUCACUGAUGGAUUCCAGAAGGAGUCUCUGUCACCAUGAAGAAAAGAACAUGCCUGGGUUGCCCACAGGAACCAGGAGAAGGAUGGGAGACAGGUGAACAGACAGAGGCUCCCUGACCAAGUCCAGCCUAGAUGUCAAGACAGCUGCAGACAUGGCACCUCUGUCAUAGGAUCCCCACUGCCAAUGGGUCUGUGAAAGAAGAGGCAGUUCUUACAUCCCACAUAUAUACAGAUGAUUCCAGGUGCCCUCGGCAGUCUCUCUUCCAGGCAGAACGGACAUACCAGAUGACUCAUCUGAAAGUUUACAAGCAGAAUUUCUUCAAACAUUCCUUGCCGUCAUGCCUGAAAAUUAGCAUUUUUAUAGUCUCUUAUUUCAUGGACACCAAAACUGGAGUUAACUGAAUCAGGAAUCCAACCCUGCCCCCUGCCCUGGAAGCACGGCGUCCCAACUACUGGAUCACCAUGGAAGUCCCUACCAACACCAUUUUUAUUCAACAUUCUAUUGGACCAAAAAUAGUGAAGAUAUUCUUGAAGAAGACCUGGACAAAAAAAGAAAGCGAAAGUAAUAUCCAAGUUACAGUAAUGAAGACAUGUUAUUAGCAGCAGGCAGAAAACCAGACCCUGUGAAUAGAAUGACAGUACCGAAACAGACUUACAUGUGACCCUAGACUUGGUUGAUUUCGGCAGCGUUCAAGAAC